GAAACCCUCAAGGCGCAAUCACUCACUCUAACACCGAUUUGAAAACAAGACAGACGGUGUACACGUGGCUCCCACCCAGCAAUGGCUGCCCCCAGGUCAUUAAAUUUGUGGCGACAGUUGCUCAGUCCCGUGAUAUCUACUGGACCAGUGUCAAAUCUAAAGUGAUCUGGAGAGAUCGCAGUGCUACUUGUGGAGCCCAGACAGCGACAAGCACUCUUUCUACAACAGCCAUGCUCUCCUCCCUGCUUCUGAUUUGGCUUGGCUACGUUUAGAAUCCAGG